rnacentral:rRNA from 1 species
UAGGGAAUAUUCCGCAAUGGGCGAAAGCCUGACGGAGCAACGCCGCGUGAGUGAAGAAGGUCUUCGGAUCGUAAAGCUCUGUCAACAGGGACGAAACAAGACGGUACCUGAGAAGGAAGCCACGGCAAACUACGUGCCAGCAGCCGCGGUAAUACGUAGGUGGCAAGCGUUGUCCGGAAUAACUGGGCGUAAAGCGCAUGUAGACGGCAUGAUAAGCCAAAUGUGAAAUGUAGGGGCUCAACCCCUACACUGCGAUUGGAACUGUCAAGCUUGAGUGCAGGAGAGGCAAAUGGAAUUCCCAGUGUAGCAGUGAAAUGCGUAGAGAUUGGGAGGAACACCAGUGGCGAAGGCGAUUUGCUGGACUGCAACUGACGUUGAGAUGCGAAAGCCAGGGGAGCAAACG